rnacentral:rRNA from 1 species
GUAGUCAUAUGCUUGUCUCAAAGAUUAAGCCAUGCAUGUCUAAGUAUAAGCAAUUAUACAGCGAAACUGCGAAUGGCUCAUUAUAUAAGUUAUCGUUUAUUUGAUAGUGCCUGUCCUACUUGGAUAACCGUGGUAAUUCUAGAGCUAAUACAUGCUAAAAAUCCCGACUUCGGAAGGGAUGUAUUUAUUAGAUUAAAAGCCAAUGCCCUCCGGGGCUCACUGGUGAUUCAUAAUAACUUCACGGAUCGCACGGCCUUGCGCCGGCGAUGGUUCAUUCAAAUUUCUUCCCUAUCAACUUUCGAUGUUUGGGUCUUGGCCAAACAUGGUGGCAACGGGUAACGGGGAAU